rnacentral:rRNA from 1 species
GGGAUUGCCUUAGUAACGGCGAGUGAAGCGGCAAAAGCUCAAAUUUGAAAUCUGGCGUCUUCGACGUCCGAGUUGUAAUUUGAAGAAGGCGACUUUGUAGCUGGUCCUUGUCUAUGUUCCUUGGAACAGGACGUCAUAGAGGGUGAGAAUCCCGUGUGGCGAGGAUCCCAGUUAUUUGUAAAGUGCUUUCGACGAGUCGAGUUGUUUGGGAAUAAA